rnacentral:rRNA from 1 species
GAGUUUGAUCCUGGCUCAGAUUGAACGCUGGCGGCAGGCUUAACACAUGCAAGUCGAGCGGGGAGAUGUAACUUGCUACAUUUCCUAGCGGCGGACGGGUGAGUAAUGCUUAGGAAUCUGCCUAUUAGUGGGGGACAACAUUCCGAAAGGAAUGCUAAUACCGCAUACGCCCUACGGGGGAAAGCAGGGGAUCUUCGGACCUUGCGCUAAUAGAUGAGCCUAAGUCAGAUUAGCUAGUUGGUGGGGUAAAGGCCUACCAAGGCGACGAUCUGUAGCGGGUCUGAGAGGAUGAUCCGCCACACUGGGACUGAGACACGGCCCAGACUCCUACAGGAGGCAGCAGUGGGGAAUAUUGGACAAUGGGCGAAAGCCUGAUCCAGCCAUGCCGCGUGUGUGAAGAAGGCCUUUUGGUUGUAAAGCACUUUAAGCGAGGAGGAGGCUACUUAGAUUAAUACUCUGGGAUAGUGGACGUUACUCGCAGAAUAAGCACCGGCUAACUCUGUGCCAGCAGCCGCGGUAAUACAGAGG